UACGAAGGGGGCGAGCGUUAAUCGGAAUUACUGGGCGUAAAGCGUGCGCAGGCGGCUUUGCAAGACAGAUGUGAAAUCCCCGGGCUCAACCUGGGAACUGCAUUUGUGACUGCAAGGCUAGAGUACGGCAGAGGGGGAUGGAAUUCCGCGUGUAGCAGUGAAAUGCGUAGAUAUGCGGAGGAACACCAAUGGCGAAGGCAAUCCCCUGGGCCUGUACUGACGCUCAUGCACGAAAGCGUGGGGAGCAAACAGG
rnacentral:rRNA from 1 species